UACGUAGGGUGCGAGCGUUGCCCGGAUUUAUUGGGCGUAAAGGGCGCGUAGGCGGCUCUGCACGUCCGUUGUGAAAUCGCCCGGCUCAACUGGGCGGGGUCAGCGGAUACGGCGGAGCUUGAGCAAGUUAGGGGGCAAUGGAAUUCCCGGUGUAGUGGUGGAAUGCGUAGAUAUCAGGAGGAACACCGGUGGCGAAGGCGGGUCUCUGGGCAGUAACUGACGCUGAGGAGCGAAAGCGUGGGGAGCGAACAGG
rnacentral:rRNA from 1 species